UCAUUGAAAUCUCAAAGCCAUGAAAUGAUGCAGGAUUGAUUUUACAUGGUGCGAAUACAUAAACUUUACAUUUGACAGAAUAAUCUGAAUGCUAAAAGGUUAAAUGCUGUGAAAGUGUA